AAAAUCAAUAGCUUAAUGAUGUCUUUUUUACCUACGUGAAAGAAUUAUCAACAGGGUGCUAAUGUAUACAUUCAGAAUCCAAAGAAAAAGGCUGUGAAAAUGCAAGUAGGCACUUUUUGUUUUCCUAAUUAAGAAAUCGAAAACAAAAAUUAGUACUUCCAAAUAGAUUUACAUUGUUUUAAUGUUGUCAAUUGUCAUUUUGAAUGCUUAAUUCAACAGAUAUAGACGGAAGUAAAAUUUGAAGUAUUAAAGAGUGCAUAAAACUAUUCCUCCUAAAUAUUUCGUAACAUUGCUAAGUUAUUGAAUAUAUAGACCCAUGCUUAAGUACGUGUCCUAGAUGCGCUUAAGGUAUUUAGUUACAAUAAUAUAUUUGCUUCAUCUGAUACUACCCUCAACCGCAAUGUUUUUAUCUUAUUAUAUCGAAAUUCAUAUUUUAUUUCGCUAAAAUUGUUUCUGAUUUACUUUCCGCUUUCUCAUUUCCGUGCAGUAAACUUGGAUACGGUAAUUAUAUAUGGAGCUUAGUGUCUUAUUGUUUAAUAACGAGUCUUAGCUUUCAAAUAUUUUAUUG